rnacentral:rRNA from 1 species
GACGAACGCUGGCGGCAGGCCUAACACAUGCCAGUCGAGCGAGCGGCGGACGGGUGAGUAAUGUCUGGGAAACCGCCUGAUGGAGGGGGAUAACUACUGGAAACGGUAGCUAAUACCGUAUACCAUCAGAUGUGCCCAGGUGGGAUUGGCUGGUAGGUGGGGUAACGGCUCACCUAGGCGACGAUCCCUAGCUGGUCUGAGAGGCUGACCAGCCACACUGGAACUGAGACACGGUCCAGACGCCGACGGGAGGCAGCAGUGGGGAAUAUUGCACAAGGGGCGCAAGACUGAGGCAGCCAUGCCGCGUGUGUGAAGAAGGCCUUCGGGUUGUAAAGCACGUUCAGCUGGGAGGCGGUACCCGCAGAGAAAGCACCGGCUAACUCCGUGCCAGCCGCCGCGGUAAUAC